GUUAAUUCACUUCCUCCAUGUCUUCCCCAACACUCCAAUGUCACCAUCACCCUCAGGCCGAGGCGCCGAUCGAGAUUCUGACGACCCUGGGUGGCACGAGAGACGAGGACCUCAACCCCUCCCUGCCGUGGCCCUCAGUACCGCACCAGGUGACUAUCUAUCGACUGGCGGAGCGACCCUUGGUUCUGAAAGUUGGCAACCUCUACCCACUCUCCCUCACCAAUCUCCUUAGUAUCCUAAGUGUCAUAUCAACUUACAUCAUCAUCCUCGUUCAGUUCCACGAAUAGAGGAUGGAGAGAACUGGUUAUGGAAUGGAAAUAAAAGACACCACUUACAUUCCCCCUCACAUCUUGCAAGGUAAACACAC